UGCCCUUCACAUCACAUUCAUCCCCUUGGUAACAGAAGAAUGAUGCAAUGGUUACCAUAACAUACGUAAAGCAGGCAAGACUAUAUUUACGUUGUUCUCUAAUUCUCGCAAAAAGAAAAAAUCAGUUGGACUACAUAUUUAAUAAUUGUCUGGUUCUCGUAUCGAUCGGGUUCCCACCUAUAAAUAUCUGGGCAUUUGGAUUGACAGACUUAAUGCUUAAAAACAUACAGAUGAGCUAGUUAAAGAGCUCAGAUAUAAAGUGGGCUUCUUUAACAAGAAAAAGAUCUUGCCUCAGGAAGCAGAUUGUACAGUCACCUUUCCUGCCAGGUCUUGGCUAUGGUGACACCAUUUACCAGAAUGCAUCAGCCACUACUCUUAAACCUUUGGAUGCCGUCUACCAUGGCGUCCGUCGCUUUAUCACAGGGGACAGUUUUAAUACUCACUACUGCAUCCUGCUGGUCCUCAUUAAAGCCCAGAAGAUCACCUCAUUUACUCCCCUUUAUUUACAAAGCACUACUACACAAGCUUCUGACGUAACCUAACGUUGCCGUGAAAAUAUUUUUUCAAACGUGAAAGCAAACACGUUCACAAGGUUGCUUAACUUUUGGAGGUUCCUGGGGUCUCCAUCAAACGUUUUAGUUUUAAAGCACCUCGUUGCUGGAACCAACUACACAACACAUUACAAUAGGAUAUUCUGGCACCUUUUUAUUGAGGAAUUUUAUUGUUUUUCUUGAGUAUUUGUGUUGUGCUGUAUUUGACUGGUUUUAUAUUGUAUUAUAUUUUUUGAUAUUUUCUAUGAAAUUGUAGAUGCAGGGCUUGUGAAAGAGACCAUGUACUUAAAUAAAAGUACACAGCACUCAUGUUCCUCUGUAGCAAAAGCUCCAGUCCUCAGAGCCUGAUUGGUGACACACUCCAGCCCCAGCUAACACACCUGACUGCAAUAAUCAACAAAUCAUGGGCUUCAGUUUGGAAUGCAAAUUAGUUUAAUCAGGUGUUCUGGGGCAAAAGUGUAUAACCAAUCAGACCUCCGAAGACGGUAGUGGUCCACACCUAAUCUACAUUCUCCUACCAGACCAGGUAUAGGGGACCAGCCAGACCAGGUAUAGGGGACCAGCCAGACCAGGUAUAGGGGACCAGUCAGACCAGGUAUAGGGGACCAGUCAGACCAGGUAUAGGGGACCAGCCAGACCAGGUAUAGGGGACCAGCCAGACCAGGUAUAGGGGACCAGUCAGACCAGGUAUAGGGGACCAGCCAGACCAGGUAUAGGGGACCAGCCAUAGGGGACCAGCCAGACCAGGUAUAGGGGACCAGUCAGACCAGGUAUAGGGGACCAGUCAGACCAGGUAUAGAGGACCUGGUAUAGGGGACCAGACAGACCAGGUAUAGGGGACCAGUCAGACCAGGUAUGGGGGACCAGUCAGACCAGGUAUGGGGGACCAGUCAGACCAGGUAUGGGGGACCAGUCAGACCAGGUAUGGGGGACCAGUCAGACCAGGUAUGGGGGACCAGUCAGACCAGGUAUGGGGGACCAGUCAGAUCAGGUAUAGGGGACCAGUCAGACCAGGUAUAGGGGACGAGUCAGACCAGGUAUAGGGGACGAGUCAGACCAGGUAUAGGGGACCAGUCAGACCAGGUAUAGGGGACCAGUCAGACCAGGUAUAGGGGACCAGGUAUAGGGGACCAGCCUGACCAGGUAUAGGGGACCAGUCAGACCAGGUAUAGGGGACCAGUCAGACCAGGUAUGGGGGAACAGUCAGACCAGGUAUGGGGGACCAGUCAGAUCAGGUAUAGGGGACCAGCCAGACCAGGUAUAGGGGAUCAACAGGGGUUCCUUGAGGAGCUCCAGGGGUUCCUUAAUGAGCUCCAGGGGUUCCUUAAUGAGCUCCAGGGGUUCCUUAAUGAGCUCCAGGGGUUCCUUUAGGAUCUGCAGGGGUUCCUUGAGGAUCUGCAGGGGUUCCUUGAUGAGCACCAGGGGUUCCUUGAUGAGCACCAGGGGUUCCUUGAGGAUCAACAGGGGUUCCUUGAGGAUCAACAGGGGUUCCUUGAGGAUCAACAGGGGUUCCUGAACAAUCAGCAGGGGUUCCUUGAGGAUCAGCAGGGGUUCCUUGAGGAUCAGCAGGGGUUCCUUGAGGAUCAGCAGGGGUUCCUUGAGGAUCAGCAGGGGUUCCUUGAGGAUCAACAGGGGUUCCUUGAGGAUCUGCAGGGUUUCCUUGAGGAUCUGCAGGGGUUCCUUGAGGAUCAACAGGGGUUCCUUGAGGAUCAACAAGGGUUCCUUGAGGAUCUGCAGGGGUUCCUUGAGGAUCUGCAGGUUUUUUUUGAGGAUCUCCAGGAGUUCCUUGAGGAUGUCCAAUUGUUCCUUGAAGAUCUCCAGGGUUCCUCAAGUCACCACUAAUUCUAAGAGGGUAUAGUGCACUACUUUUGCCCAGGGCCCAUAGUGCACUACAUACUGCAGGGGAUAGAGUGCCAUUUGGGACACAGACCUUAGACUGUUGUUCAUUACACUAAGUUAACCAAGCUGGUGUCUGUUUAAAGAACUACUACCGAAUGCUAAGUAACGUCACUCUGUAAUGUACACAACAAGAGAUUUGGAUGGUUCACGUCCUGUUCCUGGGACUGUAGUGCUGAUUCUGUGUAUUAAAAUACAACUGUACAUCACAUGAGAAGGUUUACCUCUCCAAUAAUAUGUUACAUAUCCUUGAGUUGAGUCAAAGAAUACAA
ensembl:lncRNA